rnacentral:pre_miRNA from 1 species
UCUUAAGGACGAGCAAAGACAGUAGUUUCUUGAGAUGGAAACUACUCCUGUUUAAGAUACUGGGAA